UAGCUCCCUCCACUUCAGUCUAUAAUACAAACGAAGAUCAGCCAUUUGUUGCAUCCGAGGUAAACUGGCCUGGAUUUGUGGUCUGAGUUCACCAUAUUUCCACAGUAUGACAUUGAAGAAGAAAGGAAUUUUACUUGUCACUUGAUAGUUAUUGUCUCAUGACACUAAGCUAUGACUUGGAGACAAAGGCCAAGUCAAGCCCCACUGUGAGAUUCAAUGAUUCCUUGGUGGAGAAAGAAGCAUUUGAUGUGGAGCCUGACACACCUGGAAUGGAUGAACUAAUAAAUGAUUAAGAAGUAAGUACACCAGCAAGUUUCUUGUGCCUGGACUAAAGAUGGAGUAUAGGAUGAGUAGUAGAAGAUGUAACAACUGGGACUGGAUUACAGAUGGUCUUUGUAUUAGUCUAUUCUCACACUGCUAUAAAGAAAUACCUGAGACUGGGUCAUUUAUAAAGAAAAGAGAUUUAAUUGGCUCAUGAUCCUGCAUGCUGUACAGGAAGCAUGAUGCUGUUGUCUGCUUGGCUUCUGGGGAGGCCUCAGGAAACUUAACAAUCAUGGCGGAAGGCGAAGGGGGCACAGGCAUGUCACGUGGCCAGAGCAGGAGCAAAAGAGGAGGAGGAGGUGCUACACGUUAAACAUCCACAUCUCCCAAGACUCACUCACUAUCGUGAGGAUAGUACCAAGGGGAUGGUGCUAAGCCAUUUGUGAGAAAUCUGCCCCGUGAUCAAAUCACCUUCUACCAGGCCCCACCUCCAACACUGGAGAUUACAAUUCCACAUGAGAUUUGGGUGGGGACACAGAUUCAAACCAUAUCGGUCCUGUGGGCAAGGCAGUGCCCUGAAGACUUUAAAGUAAGAGAAGAACAUGACUCCGUUGGUGCACAGUGCAUCUUGCUGGAUGCUGGGUGCUUGGAGAACUGCUGGUUCCGGGUGGGCGCAGGCAAAGUCCAUUAUUUAUAAUUUUAUAUUAUUUGUAGCACCUAGCAUGGUGUUAGACCCAUAGUAGAUGUUUAAUAAAUAUUUAAUGAAUGACUGCUUUACCUGCUUAAUUAUGUAAAAGUCUUAUCUGAAAAUAUCAAGAUUUAAAAAAACCCACAAAUAUAAAAUUUAACUAUAGA
rnacentral:lncRNA from 1 species